rnacentral:rRNA from 1 species
GACGAACGCUGGCGGCGUGCUUAACACAUGCAAGUCGAACGGUGAAGCGCCUUCCUUUUUGGUGGGUGUGGAUGAGUGGCGAACGGGUGAGUAACACGUGAGUAACCUGCCCCCUUCUUCUGGAUAACCGCAUGAAAGUGUGGCUAAUACGGGAUAUUCUGGGUCUGUCGCAUGAUGGGUCUGGGAAAGAUAUUGUUUCGGUGGGGGAUGGGCUCGCGGCCUAUCAGCUUGUUGGUGGGGUGAUGGCCUACCAAGGCGGUGACGGGUAACCGGCCUGAGAGGGUGGACGGUCACACUGGGAAUGAGACACGGCCCAGACUCCUACGGGAGGCAGCAGUGGGGAAUAUUGCACAAUGGGCGCAAGCCUGAUGCAGCGACGCCGCGUGAGGGAUGGAGGCCUUCGGGUUGUGAACCUCUUUCGCCAGUGAAGCAGGCCUGCCUCGUUUGUGGGUGGGUUGACGGUAGCUGGAUAAGAAGCGCCGGCUAACUACGUG